AUUGAACGCUAGCGGGAUGCUUUACACAUGCAAGUCGAACGGCAGCGCGGACUUCGGUCUGGCGGCGAGUGGCGAACGGGUGAGUAAUGUAUCGGAACGUGCCCAGUAGCGGGGGAUAACUACGCGAAAGCGUAGCUAAUACCGCAUACGCCCUACGGGGGAAAGCAGGUGAUCGUAAGACCUUGCACUAUUGGAGCGGCCGAUAUCGGAUUAGCUAGUUUGUGAGGUAACGGCUCACCAAGGCGACGAUCCGUAGCUGGUGUGAGAGGACGACCAGCCACAUGGGGACGUAGACACGGACCAGACUCCUACGGGAGGCAGCAGUGGGCAAUUUUGGACAAUGGGGGCAACUCUGAUCCAGCCAUCCCGCGUGUGCGGUGAAGGCCUUCGGUGUGUAAAGCACUUUUGGCAGGAAAGAAACGUCGCGGGCUAAUACCCCGUGAAACUGACGGUACCUGCAGAAUAAGCACCGGCUAACUACGUG
rnacentral:rRNA from 1 species